ACGGAUACACACCUCACCUCCGGCUGCACCCCUAAGAGUGACCUGGUGACUCGGGAAGUUCUCUCCAUCAGGCGCCAAGCGACGUCGCGCUCAGCUCUCGCAUGAUUCGAGUGGGCGCCAGCUCGCACCACCCGGCGUGGGACGCGAAAGGGCGAUCCGACCGGGCAGGGGCCACCCCCGCACGACCGGUUUAAGGGCGGAUGCCUGGCCUGUGCAGGCGAUAACGACACCCCGGCACGGCGCAGCGCAGACGGGGCCACGGAAGCGUCAACGGACGCCACCCCGGGGCUCGACUGCUUCAUCAAGGACUGGGGCGCCGCCACCACGGCGCCAAGUGACCACGGCGCGAUCCAACUCGCUGUCCACUUUUAGUAGGCUAAUGUCGUGGUGCUGCCAGUGACGACAGAGGUACAAUUAUGCGCUUUUCAUAACGCGAACCGGGAGCUACAUCCCGGAGCAGGUCGCAGGACGUAGAUAAUUGCGAGGACUGCGCACGUGCGCCGUCUAGCAUAGCUGGCGUGGUGUAUCGCAUCCGAGCAAGGCAUCCAGAAGUCCAAAGAGCACGAGGGAUGGACAGAAAAGGCGCGAAGAGAUGCGCACCGAUCAACGUCACAGCGCAUGUAGUGGAAGCAUGACGCGAGCACUGCGAAUGUCACCAUCGAGUCGUCACAACUCGAAUAUGUCGAGCCUACACACAUCAUGGCAUGCCGCGGCUUGAAACGAGCCAGGGGGGAAGUAUGCCACGGUGGCCAAGCACAGGGUCUCUGAGGGCCCUGACCUGAAGCUGGUCGUCUUCCUCCUCGAGCUCCUCCGCCAUGCACCUGUGCCAGCCCUUGUUGCCCGCACGGUCGACGCCGCCACGGCCGUCACCCUCGAGGGCAGGACCUUGGACGCGGCAUGCUUUGCAUCGAGGCGUGCUGUCCAUCCGAGUCGCCUGUCUGGCGCCGAUCGCGCAGCACGCAUCCGAGAGGAGGUGCGAGGAAAGGACAAGAAGAGCCGUUUGGUCGCACGGCCCCGAUGCGACGCAGGACGGCAUGACCCAGACGAUGACGAUGCAGCCGUAUCCCUGCGAAGGCGGGUGAGCUAUGGUUAUGUGUGGUUGUGUUUGUGUGUGUGAGUGUACUCGUGGACCUGGCUGUGGUGGACUUUCCGAACACGCAAAAAAAAAAGAAACCGAUUUUUUUGGUCCUCGGUGCUCCCUCUGAGGGUAGCCGCGGCUGUGCACACGCACAGACGCUCGCCCGGCACGCGCGACCGCUGGCGUGCCCCCCCUGCUGUUUUUUCAGACCUCGGGGAUGCCCCUUGUGGCUCCGCCGUGAGCGGGAUGGUGAGAAAGAAGGAUGACGGCGCGUCUGCACUGGCCCCUCUCCGAUGGCGCAGCUCCAGUGUACGCACGCCAUCGUUCACGGGCGUUAAAGGAAACGGAGAAGAGGAGGUGAGGGAGGCGCGCAACGGAGCGAGCUAUGCGGUCCUCUGUACCACGGGCGCUCACACCUUCACCCCCACCCACUCCUACCCUUUAUCGCAUUCAUUCUUGUUUUGCGAGUCAG
rnacentral:misc_RNA from 1 species